UGGAAUGCAUUUCGGUGAUCGACAUCAUCUACCCCCACCCCCACAAAAAAUAUUUUUGUCAUGCCAUUGCAUCAUCUUUAAAAAGGCAGAGAAGACAUUAAUGAUAUCAAUAUAGGCUAUUGGAGUGUUUAUCAUGAUGGGCGACAAUGAAUCCUUGUCAUCGGGAUUUUCUUCCAUUGAGACGAGUCGUGAUAACUCGUUACAAUUAGAUGAAAUGUAUUACUUGAAAUUUAAUCACAAAACAAAAAAAACAUCUCAAUGUUACAAUGAAGAAGAAACAAGAUGUUCAUGUCCCAACUCACACAAAAUAGAACAAUUACAAAAAGAAAAUUUGUUUUUAAAAUCACGUAUCAAUGCUUUAGAAAUCAACAUGACGCAAACACUAAAUGAAAACGCGUUGUUAAGAGCCGAAAUUACCAAUAAGAUGGACAAUAAAUUUACUCAAGAAAGUGCAAGUUAUUUGCAAACAAUGAACGCGAAUAAGGACAGCAUUGCACGAAGCGAUGUUUUGAGAGAUAAAGAAGUAAACGAGAGAAAAAGGCAGUCUGUAUUUAAUGAGUUAUUCAAGGAAACAGCUCCAAAACCAGCUAAAUAAACUUGGAGUUAUUAAUUGUAAAUGCACCUUUCUUUCAGUAAUGUAAUUACAUUUAAUUAAUUUAAUUAAUUUAUAUUAGAAUAGCAUAUACGCUUUAUAGCUGUGUAAAUACUGAAUACAUCAUUUCUACAUUGUUUUUGUUAGUACAUAGGGGAACAUUUUGUUAGUAAAUAGGUGAACAUGGAAUUUUACAUAAUCCAUUACUGAUUACCAUGAUUUAAAUGAGAAAUAUGCUACAGUAAACAUGCCUCAACUUUAUUGUUCUUUACGUCAGUGUGUUUGCUAACCUAUGCUAUUUUAUUUUGUGAUCAAAUAAGUAAGUAAGAACUGUUGCUUAUACUGUAUUUCAAUUGGCUUACUUUAAUCACAUGACCAAAAACAUAAUAUAAUAUUGACUAAAUGUUCGUUCUAAGGAUAGACAUUGAUUAAAGGCAAUUUUUACAGUUAUCAGUAUAAGAUGGAUGGAAUGUAUAUCAUGUAGUUUGGUUACAAGUACCAUUAAAUAGAUAUUUUUACUUUUUUUUAAAUAAAUUGAGAACUAGAAUCAUAUCGGAAAAAAA